GGAACGAACGCUGGCGGCAUGCCUAAUACAUGCAAGUCGAACGAACACUUCGGUGUUAGUGGCGCACGGGUGCGUAACGCGUGGGAAUCUGCCCUUGGGUUCGGAAUAACAGUUGGAAACGACUGCUAAUACCGGAUGAUAUCGAAAGAUCAAAGAUUUAUCGCCCAGGGAUGAGCCCGCGUAGGAUUAGCUAGUUGGUGAGGUAAAGGCUCACCAAGGCGACGAUCCUUAGCUGGUCUGAGAGGAUGAUCAGCCACACUGGGACUGAGACACGGCCCAGACUCCUACGGGAGGCAGCAGUAGGGAAUAUUGGACAAUGGGCGCAAGCCUGAUCCAGCAAUGCCGCGUGAGUGAUGAAGGCCGUUAGGGUU
rnacentral:rRNA from 1 species